GAUGAACGCUGGCGGCGUGCUUAACACAUGCAAGUCGAACGGAAAGGCCUCUGCUUGCAGGGGUACUCGAGUGGCGAACGGGUGAGUAACACGUGGGUGAUCUGCCCUGCACUUCGGGAUAAGCCUGGGAAACUGGGUCUAAUGCCGGUUAGGACAAUGGUUUGGAUGCUGUUGUGGAAAGUUUUUCGGUGUGGGAUGAGCUCGCGGCCUAUCAGCUUGUUGGUGGGGUAAUGGCCUACCAAGGCGUCGACGGGUAGCCGGCCUGAGAGGGUGUACGGCCACUUUGGGCCUGAGAUACGGCCCAGACUCCUACGGGAGGCAGCAGUGGGGAAUAUUGCACAAUGGGCGCAAGCCUGAUGCAGCGACGCCGCGUGGGGGAUGACGGCCUUCGGGUUGUAAACUCCUUUCGCUAGGGACGAAGCGUUUUUGUGACGGUACCUGGAGAAGAAGCACCGGCUAACUACGUG
rnacentral:rRNA from 1 species